rnacentral:rRNA from 1 species
CACGUAGGGCGCAAGCGUUGUCCGGAAUUAUUGGGCGUAAAGAGCUCGUAGGCGGUCUGUUACGUCUGCUGUGAAAACCCAGGGCUUAACCCUGGGCUUGCAGUGGAUACGGGCAGACUAGAGGCAGGUAGGGGAGAAUGGAAUUCCCGGUGUAGCGGUGAAAUGCGCAGAUAUCGGGAGGAACACCGGUGGCGAAGGCGGGAUCCUGGGCCAGUACUGACGCUGAGGAGCGAAAGCGUGGGGAGCAAACAGG